rnacentral:rRNA from 1 species
GACGAACGCUGGCGGCGUGCUUAACGCAUGCAAGUCGAACGGAAAGGCUCCAGCUUGCUGGAGUGCUCGAGUGGCGAACGGGUGAGUAACACGUGGGCAAUCUGCCCUGCACUCUGGGAUAAGCCUGGGAAACUGGGUCUAAUACCGGAUAGGACCUUUCUCCUCAUGGGGUUUGGUGGAAAGUUUUUCGGUGCAGGAUGAGCCCGCGGCCUAUCAGCUUGUUGGUGGGGUAAUGGCCUACCAAGGCGACGACGGGUAGCCGGCCUGAGAGGGUGAUCGGCCACAUUGGGACUGAGAUACGGCCCAGACUCCUACGGGAGGCAGCAGUGGGGAAUAUUGCACAAUGGGCGAAAGCCUGAUGCAGCGACGCCGCGUGAGGGAUGACGGCCUUCGGGUUGUAAACCUCUUUCAGUAGGGACGAAGCGCAAGUGACGGUACCUGCAGAAGAAGCACCGGCUAACUACGUG